CUUCUAGGAAGACCUGAGGCCUGGGGGGCAUUGCUCCUGAGACCACCUGUUCCCUGGUCUUGACUUGCCCCCUGCCAACCCCGCCCCCCACACACACACAGACAUUGGAUAAGGAGAAAUUCAUGACUCAGCAGAAUAAAAGUGAACAUUUAAUGCACCAUCAUUUGAUCUUCUUAAACACCAGGAUCUCUUUUGACAACACUGCACCUCAUAUGCCGCAGACAAUGUCUCACACGGAAAUGGCAGCAGCUCAUGGCUCGCGGCCCCAGUCUACGCGACCAUCGCUCCCGGGGCCAGGUGGUCCUCCGGUCGCCUGCCGUCCGGGCCCCCGUGGGGACGACUGACUGGCCGCUGAGCUGUGCGCAGGCCCAGGCACAGACCAGCCUCCUUCUAACGGGCUGCCGGGCCCUGCCCACGGGCAGAGUCGCUGCAUUUCUGACUUUAACAGAUGAACUUUAUUAAACAUUUUUAACAGCAAACACUCGUAAGCUAAGAACUCAAUGUUCAAAACGGCACCAAUCUUUUGUCCAGUUAAACAGUGAAUUUCAAACAAUGACAUUAAAUACAACCAUUGACUUUGCCAACAGGAUUUCAUGAACUUGGUGAAUGUUCUGUUUCAGACACGAUAAAUGCACUUGGGCAGGCCUUGCCGCCGACGUCCGGCGGGCCCGUUGCUACGCGAAGCAUAUUUACAUACACAUACAUACGUGACGGAGCUGGAGGAGCCACAGAGGCAUUUAGCACAACGUCCCCGUUUUACAGACCAGACAGUUCUAGGGAAGUCAGGCCAUCCCCCAAAGCCACAGGACUAGGGUCAGAGCCGGGUCAGAGCCGGGCUCCUGUCCUGCGCUCCUCACCACGCCGCAGACCUUCUGCACACAUGCACCCGCCCCGCCCCAUGCACACAUGUCAGCGCCUCCGUGUGGUGCGUCACCGGACACACACCUGGAGCCGCAGCAGCUCCUGGGAGGAGCCCGAGACGCGGGCUCGAGCCAGUCCUGCCAGGAACCCCGCGGUGCACGGCCACCUGCUGACUCAGCGCUCCGUCUCCCGCUGCAGCUCCCAUUUCUUCAAAGCCCGUUACCCCUCCGCUACCCGCUUUCUCUCCACACGACCCCAGAGGGCAGCUCUCGGGACCCCGACCCUCCAUGGGGAGCCCGAGGCUCAGCACAGUCCAGCGACCCGUCCAGGCUGUACAGCAGGUGUCCUCACUCCACGCGAGGCGUCCCUCCUGGUCACCUGCCUCUGCCAUGAGCCAGGGACCCCAGCCCUCCCGCUCCAGCCGGGGGAGGGGACCAGACCCCUCACGCAAUUCCGGUUGUAAGACUCACUAAAGUGCUUUGGUUUCUCCAGGAAAAGGCGGUGCUGUGUGUCCCAGGUAAGGAGCUCUGGCUGCUUUUCCACGCCCCUCAGGGGCAGCGGGCGGGCUUUAGGGGAACGCAGGAGCCUAACCCUGUGCCAUUUUUCAGAUUUCAGCCUCGAACCAGCCGGGUCCUCUCCACCCCACCCCGGCCCCCCUCCCAGGCCCAUGGAGGCAGAUUUCCAAGCCCCUCAUCAAACUCAGAAGGAAGGUACCUCUUCCCCGUCAGCUGCUCACAUAGAAACAGCUCAGCCUUGAGCUGACCCCUGGGAGGACUGGGCCCUCAUCCCUGUUCUCCUGGCUUCUUUCUUUCUCUUCCCUCCCCGGCCCCUGACUCGCCAGAAGGAGGGGAACAGCCCCCUCAGACCCACCGAACACAUGCGGACGCGGAGGCGCAGACGGCAGCGCCCACCCUGACGCACAGGACUCUCCUAAGGCGGCCGCAAUGCCCUGAGGUAGCAGCACCAACAGCCUCCACCCGCUGCUCCUGCUCCCGCUGCCGGCGCCCUGAGGGUCGGCUCACGUGCGGCGUUGGGGACAGCCAGGCCGGCGGAAGGCAGCUCCUGGUUCACGCAACCCUCUGACCUUGUGGAGGCCACGAAAACCGGGCCGUGUGGCAGGAGGCAGGUAAGGAGAUCUGGGAAGAGCGAAGUCUGUGCUGUUUGCACUGGGGGACCCUCCAGGCGAGGCGCCAGGCCCGAGGCGUCUGCCCAGGAGGGACCCGGGAUGUGCCCGGGGAAAGGCCAGGGGCACUGACUGCUGACCCGGAUUUGUUCCCAGCAAAGACCAGCCCCUCACUGUCGGCGCCCCCGCGAGGCUCUCCUUUCAAACCGCCACCGAAGGGCGCCACGUGGCAACUCAAACCCAGACUGGGGUCCCCUGGGGCCCAGGCGCUUCCACGACGUUGCUGUCGGACAGGCUGGCUCACCACGUGCUUUGACCAGGGCCAGACCACCUGACGUACGGCCGCGGGCCGGCCGUUCCCCAACCUGCGAGUCUCCAGUGGCACGGCUGGCGCCCCCGAGCGCAUCCACGCCCAGGAGGCCUCGGAACCGGCAGACUCCCUGCUCUAAUCCACGCACAAACCCAGAGCACAGAAGCGAUGGCGCUGGUGUGGGUUCAAGCUUCCAGUCCAGAGUCUUUGGAAUGACAUGAGAAUGUUGCAGGGCCCUGAACACCCGGAUGAUCGGGUAACGGAACCUGAACGUGCGGGACGCGGAGGGACACUGUACGGACAAGCACCCGCCCAGAGGACACGCGGGGCUGGCGCAGAGGCCCCCCCUCUUAGAGAAGCCGUGUCCUCUCAUCGCUCCAGCUCAGGUGCCCUCCCCGGACCCCCUGCCGCUACCACCUCCUUGGGAGAAACAGCGGCUGGGCCGUGGGGCCUCCACGUGCGGCUGGGGCGGCCUCAGCAGAAGAGCCGUGAGAGACGGGUAACAUUUAUUCAUACGCAACACCAACUAGGAAACAGCUCUACACACAACGACUCAGAAACACAAGUCGGGAUCAGGGCGCAGCACCCGGAGCAGCGAGCGGGGACAGUCCCGCCGGCUCGCUUUGCGCUGUUUUGUUGUUUGCGUCUUGACUAGCACCAUCUGCGCACAACGAAGGAGGACGUAAGUGGGUAACAGUGAAGAUUUGCAAGGCACUUAAUCAGUCGUCUGGGUGACGAUCGGCGUUGUCUCGGCUUCCCAACAGCAACCCACGUCCACCUGCCCCUCCUCACCAGACCAGGGCCCGAGGGAGGUCUCUUUUGCCAGCGGUCCUUAUGGACAAACACGUUCUAGAAAGUUCCUCAAAGUGCUUUUUCAGUCUCACGAGGCUUCCACUUCCCUUGGCCUCCCAUCGUUCUCUCCUCCUACGCGUGUCCGGUGUUGGCACCGCUCCUACAGAAACAGCUCUGCUCAACGCCACCGCAGACUUGCCACCAACCUUCAUCCUCCUUCCAUGGGCUCAGCGCCGCCUGCACGGGGCCUGGAGUGUGGGCCUGGGGCCUCGAGCAUGGGCCUGGCUGCAG